CUCUAGAUCACUUGGGUCCAAAAACGCUAGAUUAUAAAAUCCUGAUGUGACUUGAUACUACAAAUAGAAUAUGUCUUGUGAUGUAAUACUACAAAUAGAAUGACAAACUUCAAUGAAUUGAUAAAGUGUAAGGAUAGUGUUUAAAGUUGCUUCAUGUGUAGAAGCUGAAUUACUUUAGUUUAUACACUGUAAUGUCGAUAUCACAUGUUGAUGACUUUAAUACUAGCAACUUGCAAUAAGUGGUCUGUCCUGCUUGUUUAUAAUACUUUAGAGUUUGGACAUUAGAACAUUGUAAUUGCCUGACAGAGACUGUUAGGGCCUGUUUGUAUGGAAGCCGGGCUGGCCCGCUUAGCGAGAUAGCCCGGUAAGCAGGAUGAUUUCUCUUGUGUUUAUUUGAGAAAAUUUCAUCCCGCUUACCGGGACAAUUUUGUUGUUUUGACAUUGUUUUGACAGUUGUUAAAAAUAGCUUGCGGCAGUAUCAUUGAACUUUCAUCCUGGCAACUGGGCUAGCCUGCUUGUGAUUGUUUAUAUGGAGAAAUUUCCAUCCUGGUCUCUGCAACAGGGCCUCCCGCUUGUACAUAGAAACAAUUUUAAUUAUAAUUUUUACUAUAAAAAUAAGUAGACAGCGAGAUCUCACUUACCGGGCUGUCUCACUUAGCGGGCCAGCCAGUUUCGAUAUAAACAGGUCCUUAAAAGCUGCAAGUUUCCUUAAAGCAAUAUCGUCUAUAUCACAGAAUAGAGUUUCUGUAGUGACAUACUUUGUGUGUUUUCUGUUUUUAAUUAAAGUGUCUUAUGUUUGUAAUAUUUUUGUACAAUACCUUUUUGAAAUUGUUGAUACUGGUCUCAUUGUAACUCAGUUAUUCCUUCUCAAGAAAAAUAAAAAAACAAAGCUGUGUGGGUGUGUUUUUGCUCUAGUUUUUACAUCUACAUGAUUCAUGUACAAUUAAUGUACAUUUAAAUUAGCUUUGUUCAAUGAAUACAGGUGUGAUUCAAAUAUCAUUCCUGUCUGGUACUUGGGUCAAAUAGACAUAAGCAUACCAAAUCAUGCUAUGAAUUGAAAUACAAGUAUAGGGUGUGUAUUGUUUAAAUAAAUUUAUUUUCCAGUUAACCCAGUAAGCUGCAUUGUGCCCCAAUGCACCCUACUUUACUAGUUUAUUUCACUUCAUCUAAUGCCAGAUGAUUUUACUUAUCGAGGGAGAGUGCUGCUGCUCAUUGAGCUCUGAUUGAGUUCAC